GCCGGGCGGGGCCGGGGCGGGCGGCUGGCCGGGCUCAGGGGCGGCCCGCAGGCGAUAAAGCGCUGCUGGGAGCCAGGGGCAGGUGUCCGCGUUGACAUAGCUUUGAGGAACGCAAGAGCUGGGAUGAGCUUUCCAGCCUCCCCAGCUUUGGGUACUGAAAGUGGGUCUACAGGAAAGACCACAGACUGAUAUGAUUUCACAUCAAGCUUCACUGAAAGGAAUAUGGCUAUCACAGGUCAGACACUGCUGUUCCCAGAGAAGAGUGUACCCAAAACAGAAGAGUUGGUCACUUGGGAAGAACUGCCUUUUGUAGUAGCUGACAGAGAUCUGGAACCCUUUGCUGAUGCAGCUAGGAGGGGACCUGCCCUCUUCAAAGAAGGGACCCAAAAAGAAGCAUUUCAGCAACUGACGGCCUGGUGUGACCCAACAGAAACCAGCCCACCCUGACGGCAUGUCCUCCCCGCUGUGCUUGUUCCCUUUGCCCUUGGAAUGCUAUCACUUGUUAUCACGCUGACUUCUCCAGAUGGGGCAUUUUGGCUAUUGAUCUGAUAAAUAAACAGCCUGCUCGCUCGAUCAAAAUGUUAUUUUGCAUUUCAAUUACUGUUCGCUAAUGCAACCUUCAUCCCGCCAAGAGUGCUGCUGGCAAUGACACUCGACCUGGCACAGGCGUUUGCAAGCAAAUUCGGCAGCACCCGCUGCAAGCACCUAACGGGAUUACCACCCUCCAUUAGAGGCACAGAGAGAGAAGACGAUGGACAGACAGUAGUGGGCUCAAGGGGAACAGACACAUGCAGAACAGAAGGUGUGAGCAACCUGCACAAGGGAUACAGAGAGGCAACGAGACAGCUUUACUAGAUAUUUUAACAGUGAGAGAUCUUGAAAGCUGAAAAUUUUCCCUCCAGUGAACAACCCCAACAGCUCAUAGCAAAUAGACUGAGCUCUCUGUGUCUGAGCCAUGCAAGAGUUCAGAGCAAUGGGCAAUAGAAAUCAAUGUCUGCUGACAAGCCAGCAGUGAGCACUGCUGGGGCAAACAGGGUCAAUUCUAAAUCAAGUUCUGAAGCCUAGCUCCACCAGGACUCAGCAGACCCUGGAGAUACACACAGCAUUCUGUACCUAAACUUGCAGGGAGGAAACCCUCUUAAUCCUUGCUGGAUUCUUCCGGGAAAUAUGACUGCCUCUGGUGAACCUGGUGGUGAUACAGGAACAAUGGGGCAUGCAGAGGUGUUGCUAAAAUCUCUGGUAGGUGUUGAUCUCUAUUAAUUCAGCACUCUGUUUACAUCAGGGCAUCCUGUGCCAAAUCCACAGACUGGUUUCACUCAAACCCUGUCUACAGUAAGAACCCUAACACAAAUAGUAAAUCAGAGAGCAGCCACCAGCAGUCAGGUCAGGCAUGGCCCCAUGGUUAUGAGACAGCUUCUAGUCCCAAACUCUUCUAGUCAGGUGACAUGCCUCACCAGGUUGCUGGUU